rnacentral:rRNA from 1 species
UUAGGGCUAGCCUCGUGAUUGAGAAUACUGGAGGUAGAGCACUGUUUGGACUAGGGGGGCAUCUCGCUUUACCGAAUUCAGACAAACUCCGAAUGCCAGAUAUUUAUACACGGGAGUCAGACUGCGAGUGAUAAGAUCCGUAGUCAAAAGGGAAACAGCCCAGACCACCAGCUAAGGUCCCAAAGUAAUCGUUAAGUGGAAAAGGAUGUGCCGUUGCUUAGACAACCAGGAUGUUGGCUCAGAAGCAGCCAUCAUUUAAAGAGUGCGUAAUAGCUCACUGGUCGAGUGACGCUGCGCCGAAAAUGUAUCGGGGUUAAACGAUUCACCGAAGCUGUGGAUGGACACUUUAAGUGUCCGUGGUAGGAGAGCGUUCUAAUUGCUGUGAAGUCAGAUCGUAAGGACUGGUGGAGCGAUUAGAAGUGAGAAUGCCGGUAUGAGUAGCGAAAGAUGAGUGAGAAUCUCAUCCACCGUAUGACUAAGGUUUCCUGAGGAAGGCUCGUCCGCUCAGGGUUAGUCGGGACCUAAGCCGAGGCCGAUAGGAGUAGGCGAUGGACAACAGGUUGAUAUUCCUGUACUACCUCCCCACCGUUUGAGAAAUGGGGGGACGCAGAAGGGUAGGGUAAGCAGAGCGUUGGUUGUCUCUGUUCAAGCAGUAAGG